GACGAACGCUGGCGGCAUGCUUAACACAUGCAAGUCGAGCGCCCCGCAAGGGGAGCGGCAGACGGGUGAGUAACACGUGGGAACGUACCCUUUACUACGGAAUAACGCAGUGAAACUUGUGCUAAUACCGUAUGUGCCCUUUUGGGGAAAGAUUUAUCGGUAAGGGAUCGGCCCGCGUUGGAUUAGCUAGUUGGUGGGGUAAAGGCCUACCAAGGCGACGAUCCAUAGCUGGUCUGAGAGGAUGAUCAGCCACAUUGGGACUGAGACACGGCCCAAACUCCUACGGGAUGCAGCAUUGGGAAAUAUUGGACAAUGGGCGCAAGCCUGAUCCAGCCAUGCCGCGUGAGUGAUGAAGGCCCUAGGGUUGUAAAGCUCUUUCACCGGAGAAGAUAAUGACGGUAUCCGGAGAAGAAGCCCCGGCUAACUUCGUGCCAGCCGCCGCAGUAAGAC
rnacentral:rRNA from 1 species